UGUGUGUGUGUGUUAUCGGAUGGUUGCGGUCUCUUUGGGCCCCGCUGGUUGGAUAAGAGGGAGGGCCCAAAUAAUCCAUCCCCUGCUCCCUGUUGGAAUUCCGGAAUCGAGGCCGACGCUGGAACAAGGCCGGAUCAGAUAAACCUGUGCAGUAAGGUAAGGAAGGAUUCAAAUCAUGAUCCCGUAAGCUGAACGAGCUCCCUUUCUUUCUCUUCCCCAAGCUCUCGUCUCCUCCAGAAACCUUGUUGUCUGGCCCUGUGCCGUUAGCUUCGCCUGCUCUCCUUCCCCUCCCACUCCGGCGGGUGCGUACAUAGUAGUUGUUGUUCAGUUCGUUUUCGUCGUCUCGGCGACGCUUUCUCUUGGAGCCCAGCGUGUCUUGGACGUGGCGAGUUCUUGGCGACCUUGUUCUCUGUUUCUGGCAGGAAAAAUCGCUGAGAUUCGUUGUUUCCUUGGCUGGCUUGCUCUUCCUUCUCUUAGUUUUCUUUCCCUGAAUAAAUCCUGCGUUGAUGUGUAUCCAAAACCACCUGCUCCCAAAUCUCAUAGUUUAGCACACCGGUGGUUCUUCAAGUCUUCACUUCAGGUCUUUUGGUGGCAGAUGCAAGCUGCCUCUUUCUCUUUCAACUCCAGCAAAAUCCUUCUUCAACCUCCAUGCGAGGCCCCAUUGUGGGUUCAAGGACUUGCUGGCAUGGAAGAUGGAAGGCCAAGACGCAUCUAUCCUUUCCAGGAGACGGCUGCCCAUGACAGGGGCGAAUCUCUCUUCUCCGAAGCGCAGGUAUGCCCAAGAUAUUUGGCGCAGGUCGCCAAAAACUCGACGUGUGCCCUGUGUGUACGUGUCCACAAGGGACCAAGUUGUAAUUAUGUUUUUUUCUUGGGUCCUAGUAGAUGUUAUCUCUGGUUGUAACUUUACCCUGAGGUCCUUUCACCUCAGAUCUUAAUACAAGCGCAGGACCACUUCCAAAAAAGAAA